rnacentral:rRNA from 1 species
UAGGGAAUUUUCGUCAAUGGGGGGAACCCUGAACGAGCAAUGCCGCGUGAGUGAAGAAGGUUUUCGGAUCGUAAAGCUCUGUUGUAAGAGAAAAAGGGUGCUUAGAGGAAAUGGUAAGUACUUGAUGGUAUCUUACGAGGAAGCCACGGCUAACUACGUGCC